rnacentral:sRNA from 1 species
AAUAAUUAAGAAGGCUUUGCAAUCAAUUAGACAUUCCCAACACAUUCCAAGUAGCUCUGGCCAGUGGUCUCCAGCUCAGCGUGGUCUGCUUUUGUGUUGCAGUUGGGAUUCUCAGCUCCCUGGCUUCACCUUCAAUGACAUGUUUCUCUCCAUUUCUACGCGUCUUCCGUCUCAGUACAUCUAUGGCUUUGGGGAAACUGAGCACACGACUUUCAGAAGAAACAUGAACUGGAACACAUGGGGAAUGUUUUCUCGUGAUGAGCCACCUACGUACAAGAAGAAUGCCUAUGGUGUCCACCCUUACUACAUGGCACUGGAGGAGGAUGGCAGCGCCCAUGGAGUGCUCCUGCUAAAUAGCAAUGCCAUGGAUGUGACAUUACAGCCCACUCCUGCCCUGACAUACCGCACCACAGGAGGGAUUUUGGACUUCUACAUUGUUUUGGGGCCAACCCCUGAACUUGUAACUCAGCAAUACACAGAGUUGAUUGGUCGGCCAGCAAUGAUUCCAUACUGGGCCUUGGGAUUCCAGCUGAGUCGCUAUGGAUACCAGAAUGAUGCUGAAAUCUCCAGUUUGUAUGAUGCAAUGGUGGCAGCCCAGAUUCCCUAUGACGUCCAGCAUGUAGACAUCGAUUACAUGAACCGGAAGCUGGAUUUCACCCUCAGUGCCAACUUUCAAAACCUCAGUGUUCUGAUUGAGCAAAUGAAGAAAAAUGGCAUGAGAUUUAUUCUCAUUUUGGACCCAGCCAUUUCUGGCAAUGAGACACAGUAUCUCCCAUUCAUUAGAGGACAGGAAAAUAACGUGUUCAUCAAAUGGCCUGACACCAAUGACAUUGUCUGGGGAAAGGUUUGGCCAGAUCUGCCUAAUGUAAUUGUAGAUGGAUCCCUUGACCAUGAAACUCAGGUUAAGCUUUACAGGGCCUACGUUGCCUUUCCUGACUUCUUUCGUAAUAGCACAGCUGCGUGGUGGAAGAAAGAGAUAGAAGAGCUCUAUGCAAACCCUCGAGAGCCAGAGAAGAGCUUGAAGUUUGAUGGAUUGUGGAUUGAUAUGAAUGAGCCAUCAAAUUUUGUGGAUGGAUCUGUCAGGGGCUGCAGCGAUGAAAUGCUAAAUAACCCACCCUAUAUGCCAUAUUUGGAAUCCAGGGACAAGGGCCUGAACAGCAAGACCCUGUGCAUGGAGAGUCAGCAGAUCCUGCCAGACAGCUCCUCCGUGCAGCACUACAAUGUUCACAGCCUGUACGGGUGGUCCCAGACCAGACCCACAUACGAAGCUGUGCAGGAGGUGACAGGACAGCGAGGGGUCGUCAUCACCCGCUCCACAUUUCCCUCUUCUGGACGCUGGGGAGGACACUGGCUGGGAGACAACACAGCUGAGUGGGACCAGCUGGGGAAAUCUAUCAUUGGCAUGAUGGAUUUCAGUCUCUUUGGAAUACCUUAUACAGGAGCAGAUAUCUGUGGGUUCUUUGGAGAUGCUGAAUAUGAGAUGUGUGUUCGCUGGAUGCAACUGGGGGCAUUUUAUCCAUUUUCCAGAAACCACAACAACAUCGGGACAAGGAGACAAGAUCCUGUGGCCUGGAAUUCAACCUUUGAGAUGUUGUCCAGAGAAGUCCUAGAGACCAGAUACACCCUGCUUCCUUAUCUCUAUACUCUGAUGCAUAAAGCUCACGUUGAGGGCAGCACUGUUGUCCGGCCCCUUCUCCAUGAGUUUACGGAUGACAGGACAACAUGGGAUAUAGACCGUCAGUUCAUGUUGGGCCCUGCUAUCUUAAUCAGCCCUGUGUUGGAAACUAGCACAUUUGAGGUCUCUGCUUAUUUUCCAAGAGCCCGUUGGUAUGACUAUAGCACGGGAACUGGCAGCAAAUCGACAGGUCAGAGGAAAAUCCUGAAGGCUCCCCUUGACCACAUCAACCUUCAUGUCAGAGGAGGCUACAUCCUGCCCUGGCAAGAGCCUGCAAUGAACACUCACUCCAGUCGACAAAAUUUUAUGGGAUUGAUUAUUGCUUUGGAUGACAAUGGGACAGCUGAAGGCCAGGUGUUCUGGGAUGAUGGACAAAGCAUUGUCUUUAACCUCACAGCUAUGUGAACUCCUACGACUACAUGCUUGCUAUCUCGCACAGAAUAACCAAACAGUAGUCUCCACACUUCAGAUACCUAUGAAAAUGGAAAUUAUUUUUUGGCAAACUUUAUAGCAGCUCAGAACUUCCUGCAAAUCCAGACCAUACACAAUAAGUAUUUGAGUGACUCGAAUCCACUAAAAGUUGGGUAUAUUAGAAUCUGGGGUGUGAAUACCUAUGUGACACAAGUCAGUUACACCUAUGACAAUCAGCAAUUUAUGGAGACAAAUUUCAAGAGUGACCCUUAUAAUCAGAUACUAAAUAUUCAAUUGACUGACAAGACUGUCAACCUGGAAAAGUUAACUGAGGUUACUUGGAUUGAUGGUGGUCCUGUACUUCCUACUCCAACUGAGACAAGUACCAUCCCAAUGAGUUCUCAUCCUUCUCCAUCUACUACCAAUGCCACCAGUUCUGAGACAAUCACCAGUUCUGCCAGUGCAAAUACUACCACUGGCACUACUGCUACUGUUCCUAUCACAACCACAUCUUUCCCAAGUACUACUAAUGUUACAACUAAUACUACUGUUACUGAUACAACUUCUCCUUUCCCUACAAGUACUACUAAUGCUAGCACUAAUGCUACUGUUCCUAUCACAACCACACGUUUUGCAACAAGUACUAUUGGUGUUACAACUAAUGCUACUGUUCCCGAUACAACUGCCCCUUUCCCAACGAAUACUACUACUGCUAGCACUAAUGCUACUAUUCCUAUCACAACCACACCUUUUGCAACAAGUACUAUUGGUGUUACAACUAGUACUACUAUUCCUGAUACAACUGCUCCUUUCCCUACAAGUACUACUAGUGCUAGCACUAAUGCUACCCCUGUUCCUAUCACAACCACACUUUUUGCAACAAGUACUAUUGGUGUUACAACUGGUACUACUGUUCCUGAUACAACUGCUCCUUUCCCUACAAGUACUACUAGUGCUAGCACUAAUGCUACCCCUGUUCCUAUCACAGCCACACUUUUUGCAACAAGUACUAUUGGUGUUACAACUGGUACUACUGUUCCUGAUACAACUGCUCCUUUCCCUACAAGUACUACUGGUGCUAGCACUAGUGCUACUGUUCCUAUUACAACCACAUCUUCCCUUACAAAUACUGCUGAUGCUAACACUAGUAAUAGUGUUCCUAAUACCACUAUGCCUUCUCCUACAAGUAGUACUACUGUGCGUACUAUUGCUACCGUUCCCAUGUCAGUGACUCCUUCUCUGACAAGUACUGCUGAUGCCACCAUUAGCACUACUGUACUUAUUGCCACUACUUCUUCUCUAACAGGUACUACUGAUGUUAGCACUAGUACUACUAUUAAUAAUAUAAGUACUCCUGUUCAAACAAAUACUACUAAUGCUAGUACUAGUACUAAUGUUGCUAAUAUAACUGCUACCUCUCAUACAAGUACUGAUGAUACUGUUCCUAAUAAUACUGUUCCAAUUACAGCUAUUCCUUCUCUUGCAAAUACUGGUGUUGACACUACUAGCAACAGUUUUUCCAUUAUGACCACUUCUCUCUCUGAAAGUACUAAUGCUAUGAACACUGCUGUUAUUAUGGCAACUACUUCUCCUACAAGUACUGAUGUUGCUAGCACAAAUAAUGAUGCUUCUAUGACAAAUUUUCUUUUAGCUACAAUGUCUGCUGGUAAUACAACUAGUAAUAGUAUUUCCAUAACAACU